CAAUAGCGUAUAUUAAAGUUGUUGCAGUUAAAAAGCUCGUAGUUGAAUUUCGGGUCCCCGCGCUCGGCGCUUCAUUGUGCCGUCGUGGUGUCCCUCCUCGCCGUCAGGCGUCCUUUACUGUGAAAAAAUUAGAGUGUUCAAAGCAGGCAAUCGCUUGAAUACAUUAGCAUGGAAUAAUAAGAUAGGAUCUUGUCUAUUUUGUUGGUUGCGGACAAUGAUAAUGAUUAAUAGGGAUAGUUGGGGGUGUCCGUAUUGAGCUGUCAGAGGUGAAAUUCUUGGAUUUGCUCAAGACGAACUACUGCGAAAGCAUUUGCCAAGGAUGUUUUCAUUGA
rnacentral:rRNA from 1 species